UAUAUAAACCCCUUACUGCGAAAAUUUCUGCAGCAGUAGCGUAAGCAGUCGUGUUGAAAGUAAAAACUAAAAUGUUGAAGAAAAUUCUUUACUUGUUUGCGCUGAUUAGUGUAAUUGGCCUCAUCAGCGAAUUGCCAAGCGCCAAUGCCAAUCCUCCACCAGUUGAUAUUAUACGAGUUGGAUUGGAUUAUAUAUAUACACAAUAGUCAACACUAUUGCUUAUUUUCCUGGAAAGUCUUAUGAAAAACUUAUAAUUCAAAUUUCAAAAGCAAAUUGUAAAUGCAACUAUUUUCUUCAAAUAUAUAAUAUUCAUGUCAGCAUAA